rnacentral:ncRNA from 1 species
GCUAUCAUGCCUUAGCCAGCCUGUGUUUGCCCGUUAACGCAGGCAGCGUACGUCAUCACGUGCAUGAAUAAUUAUCUGAAAUCU